rnacentral:rRNA from 1 species
UACGGGGGGGGGCAAGCGUUGUUCGGAAUUACUGGGCGUAAAGGGCUCGUAGGCGGCCAACUAAGUCAGACGUGAAAUCCCUCGGCUUAACCGGGGAACUGCGUCUGAUACUGGAUGGCUGGAGUUUGGGAGAGGGAUGCGGAAUUCCAGGUGUAGCGGUGAAAUGCGUAGAUAUCUGGAGGAACACCGGUGGCGAAGGCGG